AACACCCAGACGCAGAGAACAUUCUCUCUAUGAAGGCAAGAAGUAACUCAAGACACCGAUCGUUGACCUCACAGAAAGACCUGCACUGUUUCUUCCAUGCCAGAGAAUUACAACGUUAAUUUCAAGACGAUGUUUAUGGAAAAACUUGACAAAUGUUCUCCAACAAUCCUGACGAUGAUGUUGGCCAAAGGUGGACAAGACAGACAAGUUACAUCAGAUUAGAAUAAGUCCAUCAGGGGACGGUGGGAGUUUGCCAUUCAGGCCGUCAUGAUCCAGCUCAGAGGAGGAGGAUCAUCUUGGAGCAGUUGGUAAGUUUCUAUCCCUACACUGUUUACACCAGUAUUACAUUUAAGAGCCAAUUUCAUGGCUCUUAUUAGAUUGUUCC
rnacentral:lncRNA from 1 species